CCGCCUCUGGCUUUUGCUGUCUGGGGAUGCUGGGCAGUGGAAAUCCGUACAGGGCAUGUUGUUAGUUCCGUGCCCUGGAGCCGUGCUGGGCAAUGCUGUGCCAGGCAAUGCCGUGCCAUCGGGUGGCAGAGCCGCUGCUCGCCCCAGGAUGGGGGACCUCUUGUGUCGCUCUGAGCCUCAGCCCCAACCUUGCUCUUGUGGUCCCGUGUCUUCUGCUCAUGUAAUGGAGUGCACCCUGUUGCAUUCCUCUAGACGUAGUGCAUAAAAAGCUGUGAAAUACAUACUAAAUCUUUAUGAUUUUCAGAUUUUGAUAGGAAUACUUGAUAACAUUAGUGCCGCCUUCUUGGAGACAUUUCUCUCCUGUAGGUUUUUUUUUUUUUUUUUUCUCUGAUGUUCCUCCUUGCCAUUAGGAUUCGGUCAGCAAGAAGCAGCUAAUGUGAUGGUUUUACAUACUAUUUUUUCUUAUUUACAGUAAAUAAGAAUACACUGUUAAUUGUUACCUUAUCAGUUUACUAGGUUUGAGAUGUUGAAGCUAAAGCAAAGCAAAGCAAACCUUGAAUCAAUCAGAGGAUCCUUAUGGGCACGUGGAGUCCUCUGCUGAAGUCAAUGGAGAUGUCUGGGCUGUUGGCAGAAGGCUGGCCGAAUGACUUCCAACAGCCACGGCAACAUCUGCUGGUGACUGCGCAGCCGGGUGCCGCGAUGAGGCCCUGUCACGGAGCCGUCCCGUGGUGUCCCAGCGGCGUCACCUCGGCUCACGGUGUGUCCUCAUGUGGCCACGCACACCUCUGCCCCCCUGGGGACACCACCCCAAGCCAGGCCCCUGCUCAGCCACUGCCCAAGGCACGCAAGGCUUCUAAUUGAAUCGCCGAUUAAACGGGGUGAUAAAAGCUGCUCUUGAAAGGACUGCAGGGCUGUGUUUUGUGCUGCCUUAGCCUGAUUUGGGGGAGUGGUGUUUUACAGCUGGUGGAAACUUGGCUUAUGGACCUGCUGCGGAGGUUGGAAGGCAUCCUGUAGGAUUUACAGUGGCCAGCUCACAAAAAUGCCUGCAAGAAGGCUCUCCCUGCCCUUCUGAUCCAA
rnacentral:lncRNA from 1 species